rnacentral:rRNA from 1 species
GAUGAACGCUGGCGGCGUGCCUAAUACAUGCAAGUCGAGCGAACAGACGAGGAGCUUGCUCCUCUGACGUUAGCGGCGGACGGGUGAGUAACACGUGGAUAACCUACCUAUAAGACUGGGAUAACUUCGGGAAACCGGAGCUAAUACCGGAUAAUAUAUUGAACCGCAUGGUUCAAUAGUGAAAGACGGUUUUGCUGUCACUUAUAGAUGGAUCCGCGCUGCAUUAGCUAGUUGGUAAGGUAACGGCUUACCAAGGCUACGAUGCGUAGCCGACCUGAGAGGGUGAUCGGCCACACUGGAACUGAGACACGGUCCAGACUCCUACGGGAGGCAGCAGUAGGGAAUCUUCCGCAAUGGGCGAAAGCCUGACGGAGCAACGCCGCGUGAGUGAUGAAGGUCUUCGGAUCGUAAAACUCUGUUAUUAGGGAAGAACAAAUGUGUAAGUAACUAUGCACGUCUUGACGGUACCUAAUCAGAAAGCCACGGCUAACUACGUG